rnacentral:SRP_RNA from 1 species
CGUUGGGCUAGACCGGGAUGCUUGGCGUAUCCUUGUAUACCGAAACCGUCAACAUGCGGAGGUGACAGCAUGGGACGGGGUCUAUGGAAACUGCAGGCCCACGGAUAGACUAUGAGAUCCUGUCUUGCGGGGUUGGCGUCUGUCUCCGAAGCAGCCGGAGGGUUGCGGAGGAUUCACUAAUCGCAGAAACCGGGUCAGGCCCUGACGGGAGCAGCCUUACUGCGAACUACUGACGCUCGUAGGGUAACGGGGUUGAGGAUUGAAGUGUCAAACCUGCGGUGGAAGUAACCUCAACCUGUGUGGCCCAGCA